rnacentral:misc_RNA from 1 species
GAUUAUGGCUGUUGCGGCGUAACUGUCGACUCGGCUGAAAUAUACGAGUUACCCAUUUCUAAGAAAUAGACGGUUUGACUCGGCGUAAUAAUAUAUUUCGCUGAGAACGUCACAUUCUUAAUCAUUAGUGGUGCUUCUAAUGCGACAUCUAAAUUUAAGCUUUAGACCUCAAAUCAGUCAGGACUACCCGCUGAACUUAA